rnacentral:rRNA from 1 species
GGGUACUCGAGUGGCGAACGGGUGAGUAACACGUGGGUGAUCUGCCCUGCACUUCGGGAUAAGCCUGGGAAACUGGGUCUAAUACCGGAUAGGACCAUCGUUUAGUGUCGGUGGUGGAAAGUUUUUCGGUGUGGGAUGAGCUCGCGGCCUAUCAGCUUGUUGGUGGGGUAAUGGCCUACCAAGGCGUCGACGGGUAGCCGGCCUGAGAGGGUGUACGGCCACAUUGGGACUGAGAUACGGCCCAG